ACCCAACUUAGCUGCUAUGAACCCCGAGGCACUAUGUUAGUGCGGCUCGCCCAUGCCUCGGGGGGAGCGAAUCGGGAAACCGGCUGAGUGGGAA
rnacentral:ncRNA from 1 species